UUAAUGAGAGUUUGAUCCUGGCUCAGGACGAACGCUGGCGGCGUGCCUAAUACAUGCAAGUAGAACGCUGAGGACUGGUGCUUGCACCGGUCCAAGGAGUUGCGAACGGGUGAGUAACGCGUAGGUAACCUACCUCAUAGCGGGGGAUAACUAUUGGAAACGAUAGCUAAUACCGCAUAAAAGUGUUUAACCCAUGUUAAACAUUUAAAAGGUGCAAUUGCAUCACUAUGAGAUGGACCUGCGUUGUAUUAGCUAGUUGGUGAGGUAACGGCUCACCAAGGCGACGAUACAUAGCCGACCUGAGAGGGUGAUCGGCCACACUGGGACUGAGACACGGCCCAGACUCCUACGGGAGGCAGCAGUAGGGAAUCUUCGGCAAUGGACGGAAGUCUGACCGAGCAACGCCGCGUGAGUGAAGAAGGUUUUCGGAUCGUAAAGCUCUGUUGUUAGAGAAGAAUGAUGGUGGGAGUGGAAAA
rnacentral:rRNA from 1 species